rnacentral:rRNA from 1 species
GCCCGGAGAUAGCUGGUUCUCCCCGAAAUAGCUUUAGGGCUAGCCUCAAGGUGAGAGAUACGGAGGUAGAGCACUGAAUGUCCUAGGGGGUAUUGCACCUACCGAAGACUAUCAAACUCCGAAUGCCGUCAUCUUAUACUUGGGAGUCAGACUGUGGGUGAUAAGAUUCAUAGUCGAAAGGGCAACAGCCCAGAUCGUCAGCUAAGGUCCCUAAAUGUAAGUUAAGUGGUAAAGGAUGUGGGAUUGCACAGACAACCAGGAUGUUGGCUUAGAAGCAGCCACUCAUUCAAAGAGUGCGUAAUAGCUCACUGGUCGAGUGAUCCUGCGCCGAAGAUUUCCGGGGCUAAAACUUACUACCGAAGCUACGGCAU